rnacentral:rRNA from 1 species
GGGUAGAGUAAUGCGUGACCAACCUGCCCCAUGCUCCAGAAUAGCUCUUGGAAACGGGUGGUAAUGCUGGAUGCUCCAACUUGACGCAUGUCUUGUUGGGAAAGUGUUUAGUGGCAUGGGAUGGGGUCGCGUCCUAUCAGCUUGUAGGCGGGGUAAUGGCCCACCUAGGCUUCGACGGGUAGCCGACCUGAGAGGGCGGACGGCCACAUUGGGACUGAGAUACGGCCCAGACUCCUACGGGAGGCAGCAGGC